rnacentral:ncRNA from 1 species
GAGGAACCCGGUGCGAAUCCGGGGCGGUCGCGCCACUGUGACCGGGGAGCGGUCCCUCAAGUCGCCACUGCCCUCGCGGGUGGGAAGGCGAGGUGACCGCGUCGAUCCGGGAGCCAGGAGACUC